CCCUUAGAUGUUCUGGGCCGCACGCGCGCUACACUGAUGCAUUCAACGAGCCUAUCCUUGACCGACAGGUCCGGGUAAUCUUUGAAUCUGCAUCGUGACGGGGAUAGAUUAUUGCAAUUAUUAAUCUUCAACGAGGAAUGCCUAGUAGGCGCAAGUCAUCAGCUUGCGUCGAUUACGUCCCUGCCCUUUGUACACACCGCCCGUCGCUCCUACCGAUUGGGUUUGCUGGUGAAAUGUUCGGAUCGGCCGUUUGUCGCGGUUUCCGCGUCAUGUGGCUGAGAAGUUCAUUAAACCCUCCCACCUAGAGGAAGGAGAAGUCGUAACA
rnacentral:rRNA from 1 species